rnacentral:rRNA from 1 species
CCUACGGGCGGCAGCAGUGAGGAAUAUUGGUCAAUGGACGAGAGCCUGAACCAGCCAAGUAGCGUGAAGGAUGACUGCCCUAUGGGUUGUAAACUUCUUUUAUAUGGGAAUAAAAUGCUCUAUGUGUACUCUUUUGCAUGUACCUUAUGAAUCAGGCUCGGCUAACUCCGUGCCAGCAGCCGCGGUAAUACGGAGGAUCCGAGCGUUAUCCGGAUUUAUUGGGUUUAAAGGGAGCGUAGGCGGGUUGUUAAGUCAGUUGUGAAAGUUUGCGGCUCAACCGUAAAAUUGCAGUUGAUACUGGCAGUCUUGAGUACAGUAGAGGUGGGCGGAAUUCGUGGUGUAGCGGUGAAAUGCUUAGAUAUCACGAAGAACUCCGAUUGCGAAGGCAGCUCGCUGGACUGUAACUGACGCUGAGGCUCGAAAGUGUGGGUAUCAAACAGGAUUAGAUACCCUAGUAGUC